rnacentral:rRNA from 1 species
UACGGAGGGUGCAAGCGUUGCUCGGAAUUACUGGGCGUAAAGCGCGCGUAGGUGGUCUUUUAAGUCCGACUGUGAAAUCCCGGGGCUCAACCCCGUGGGCUGCAGGGGAUACUGGGAGACUGGAGACACGUAGAGGCAAGCGGAAUUCCGGGUGUAGCGGUGGAAUGCGUAGAGAUCCGGAAGAACACCGGAGGCGAAGGCGGCUUGCUGGGCGUGAUCUGACGCUGAGGCGCGAAAGCGUGGGGAGCAAACAGG